AUGUUGGUGGAAAGAUUAGGAA
rnacentral:piRNA from 1 species